UACCAUGUGGCGUAGUGGUUUGAGUGUUGGGCUAUGACUCUGGAGAUCAGGGUUUGAUUCCCCGCUUGGCCA